rnacentral:rRNA from 1 species
GCAUGACCCCCCAUUCAAAAUUUAUCCUGUCUCAACGCUGGAUCAAACCUUUCUACUCUGGAUCAGUGGCGAACGGGUGAGUACACGUGAGUAACCUGCCCCAGACUCUGGGAUAAGCACUGGAAACGGUGUCUAAUACCGGAUACGAGCUUCAGCCGCAUGGCUAGGAGCUGGAAAGAAUUUCGGUCUGGGAUGGACUCGCGGCCUAUCAGCUAGUUGGUGAGGUAAUGGCUCACCAAGGCGACGACGGGUAGCCGGCCUGAGAGGGUGACCGGCCACACUGGGACUGAGACACGGCCCAGACUCCUACGGGAGGCAGCAGUGGGGAAUAUUGCACAAUGGGCGCAAGCCUGAUGCAGCAACGCCGCGUGAGGGACGACGGCCUUCGGGUUGUAAACCUCUUUUAGUAGGGAAGAAGCGAAAGUGACGGUACCUGCAGGAAAAAGCACCGGCUAACUACGUGCCAGCAGCCGCGGUAAUACGUAGGGUGCAAGCGUUAUCCGGAAUUAUUGGGCGUAAAGAGCUCGUAGGCGGUUUGUCGCGUCUGCUGUGAAAACUGGAGGCUCAACCUCCAGCCUGCAGUGGGUACGGGCAGACUAGAGUGCGGUAGGGGAGAUUGGAAUUCCUGGUGUAGCGGUGGAAUUGCGCAGAUAUCAGGAGGAACACCGAUGGCGAAAGGCAGAUCUCUGGGCCGUAACUGACGCUGAGGAGCGAAAAGCAUUGGGAGCGAACAGGAUUAGGAUUACCCUGGUAGUCCAUGCCGUAACGUUGGGAACUAGAUGUAGGGACCAUUUCCACGGUUUCUGUGU